AAUAGAAGAAUGACAAAUCAGAUUUUUCCUCUUGUUUUUCAACAUUUUCCUCUUUAAAAAAUUUAAAUCCAACUAAAAAUGAUAAAAUCAUGAGAAAAAAUCUGAUUUGACAUUCUCCUAUU
rfam:Gossypium hirsutum cultivar TM-1 chromosome 4, whole genome shotgun sequence